rfam:Aedes albopictus isolate Foshan contig9838, whole genome shotgun sequence.
UAGCCUAGUGGUUAAGGCUAAGGAUCGCCAAUCCAGAGACGGCGGGUUCGAUUCCCGU